rnacentral:rRNA from 1 species
UCCUACGGGAGGCAGCAGUGAGGAAUAUUGGUCAAUGGGUGAGAGCCUGAACCAGCCAUCCCGCGUGCAGGAUGACGGUCCUAGUGAUUGUAAACUGCUUUUCUAUGAGAUGAAUAAGAAUUACGUGUAGUUCGAUGACCGUAUUAUAGGAAUAAGCAUCGGCUAACUCCGUGCCAGCAGCCGCGGUAAUACGGAGGAUGCAAGCGUUAUCCGGAUUUAUUAGGUUUAAAGGGUGCGUAGGUGGGCGUUUAAGUCAGUGGUUAAAGCCAUUAGCUUAACUAAUGUAUGCCAUUGAUACUGGAUGUCUUGAAUGUGGUAGAGGUAGGCGGAAUGUGUUGUGUAGCGGUGAAAUGCUUAGAUAUAACACAGAACACCGAUUGCGAAGGCAGCUUACUAUUCCAUUAUUGACGCUGAUGCACGAAAGCGUGGGGAUCAAACAGGAUUAGAUACCCUGGUAGUCCACACUGUAAACGAUGAUAACUAGCUGUUGGCGAUACACAGUCAGUGGCCAAGCGAAAGCGAUAAGUUAUCCACCUGGGGAGUACGACCGCAAGGUUGAAACUCAAAGGAAUUGACGGGGGCCCGCACAAGCGGAGGAACAUGUGGUUUAAUUCGAUGAUACGCGAGGAACCUUACCCGGGUUUGAAAUGCAAUCGACCGAUUAUGAAAGUAGUUUUCCAGCAAUGGCGAUUGUGUAGGUGCUGCAUGGUUGUCGUCAGCUCGUGCCGUGAGGUGUCGGCUUAAGUGCCAUAACGAGCGCAACCCUUGCCGUUAGUUGCUAGCAGGUUAAGCUGAGGACUCUAGCGGGACUGCCAUCGUAAGGUGCGAGGAAGGUGGGGAUGACGUCAAAUCAGCACGGCCCUUAUGUCCGGGGCGACACACGUGUUACAAUGGGGGGUACAGCGGGCAGCUACCGGGCGACCGGAUGCUAAUCUCUUAAAUCCUCUCUCAGUUCGGAUCGGAGUCUGCAACUCGACUCUGUGAAGCAGGAUUCGCUAGUAAUCGCGCAUCAGCCACGGCGCGGUGAAUACGUUCCCGGGCCUUGUACACACCGCCCGUCAAGCCAUGGAAGCCGGGGGUACCUGAAGUACGUUACCGUUUAGGAUCGUCCUAGGGUAAGACUGGUAACUGGGGGCUAAGUCGUAACAAGGUAACCA